rnacentral:rRNA from 1 species
UACGUAGGGGGCAAGCGUUGUCCGGAAUCAUUGGGCGUAAAGCGCGUGUAGGCGGCCUUGUAAGUCCGUUCUGAAAGUCCGGGGGCUCAACCCCGGGAGGCGGAUGGAUACUGCAAGGCUCGAGUCCGGAAGAGGCAAGUGGAAUCCCGGUGUAGCGGUGAAAUGCGCAGAUAUCGGGAGGAACACCAAUGGCGAAGGCAGCUGCUGGGACGGUCUGACGCUGAGAGCGAAAGCGUGGGAGCAACAGGGAUAAGAUACCCCGAUGA